rnacentral:lncRNA from 10 species
CCUUGCUGUGUUGCCCAGGGUGGUCUCUAAUUCCUGGCCUUUAGCAAUUCUCCCGCCUUGGCCUCCUAAAGCACUGGGGUUACAGGCAUGAACCACUGUGCCCAGCCUGCAUGAUGUAAUCUCCAAAUUGAGGGUCACCCAGGCAUGGAAUGCACAGCUCUGCCAGACAGAAAGCGCUUUGGAUGCCUGAGAAACAACAGCUUGUCCGGGCUACUGAUGCGAAGAGAGGCCAUGGUUUCCUUUUUCUCUGCUCUGAAUGGCAGCCUUGACGUCACAACAGCUAGGAACCACUGGAGGGACAAAUAACAAGGCGCAAGCCAGAAGCGCCCUGCUCUGUCGCAGGGGCAGGGCCAUUUUCAUCCAGUUCUGAUGUCUUCUGUGGCCGCUGCGAGUCGGCGGGAGUAGAGACAAAUGACUGGAGCUUUAGGCGUAAAGGCGGUCUCUCUCUAGGCUGAUCAAACAGCCCUUUGCCCAGUGCUAAUUGCCUUCACGGAACCUGGAUAAACUACAGUUCCCGAAUUAAACUUGUUUCUG